rnacentral:rRNA from 1 species
UGGGCUUGACAUCCCACGAACCUUCCCGAAAGGGUUGGGUGCCCGCAAGGGAGCGUGGAGACAGGUGGUGCAUGGCUGUCGUCAGCUCGUGUCGUGAGAUGUUGGGUUAAGUCCCGCAACGAGCGCAACCCUCACCCCUUGUUGCCACCGGGUAAAGCCGAGCACUCUAGGGGAACUGCUAGCGUCAAGCUGGAGGAAGGCGGGGAUGACGUCAAGUCAUCAUGCCCCUUACGCCCUGGGCUACACACGUGCUACAAUGGCCGGUACAAAGGGAUGCAAGGCCGCGAGGUCGAGCUAACCCCAAAAAACCGGUCUAAGUUCAGAUUGCAGUCUGCAACUCGACUGCAUGAAGGAGGAAUCGCUAGUAAUCGCGCAUCAGCACGGCGCGGUGAAUACGUUCCCGGGCCUUGUACACACCGCCCGUCACACCACGAAAGCCGGCUGUACUCGAAGUCGCUGAG